GUUAUAUGGUCAAGUGAAGAAGCGCAUACGGUGGAUGCCUUGGCAGUCAGAGGCGAUGAAAGACGUGGUAGCCUGCGAAAAGCUUCGGGGAGUCGGCAAACAGACUUUGAUCCGGAGAUCUCUGAAUGGGGAAACCCACCUAGGAUAACCUAGGUAUCUUGUACUGAAUCCAUAGGUGCAAGAGGCGAACCAGGGGAACUGAAACAUCUAAGUACCCUGAGGAAAAGAAAUCAACCGAGAUUCCCUUAGUAGUGGCGAGCGAACGGGGAUUAGCCCUUAAGCUUCAUUGAUUUUAGCGGAACGCUCUGGAAAGUGCGGCCAUAGUGGGUGAUAGCCCCGUACGCGAAAGGAUCUUUGAAGUGAAAUCGAGUAGGACGGAGCACGAGAAACUUUGUCUGAACAUGGGGGGACCAUCCUCCAAGGCUAAAUACUACUGACUGACCGAUAGUGAACCAGUACCGUGAGGGAAAGGCGAAAAGAACCCCGGAGAGGGGAGUGAAAUAGAACCUGAAACCGUAUGCGUACAAGCAGUGGGAGCCUACUUGUUAGGUGACUGCGUACCUUUUGUAUAAUGGGUCAGCGACUUAUAUUCAGUGGCAAGCUUAACCGUAUAGGGUAGGCGUAGCGAAAGCGAGUCUUAAUAGGGCGUUUAGUCGCUGGGUAUAGACCCGAAACCGGGCGAUCUAUCCAUGAGCAGGUUGAAGGUUAGGUAACACUGACUGGAGGACCGAACCCACUCCCGUUGAAAAGGUAGGGGAUGACUUGUGGAUCGGAGUGAAAGGCUAAUCAAGCUCGGAGAUAGCUGGUUCUCCUCGAAAGCUAUUUAGGUAGCGCCUCAUGUAUCACUCUGGGGGGUAGAGCACUGUUUCGGCUAGGGGGUCAUCCCGACUUACCAAACCGAUGCAAACUCCGAAUACCCAGAAGUGCCGAGCAUGGGAGACACACGGCGGGUGCUAACGUCCGUCGUGAAAAGGGAAACAACCCAGACCGCCAGCUAAGGUCCCAAAGUUGUGGUUAAGUGGUAAACGAUGUGGGAAGGCUUAGACAGCUAGGAGGUUGGCUUAGAAGCAGCCAUCCUUUAAAGAAAGCGUAAUAGCUCACUAGUCGAGUCGGCCUGCGCGGAAGAUGUAACGGGGCUCAAACCACACACCGAAGCUGCGGGUGUCACGUAAGUGACGCGGUAGAGGAGCGUUCUGUAAGCCUGUGAAGGUGAGUUGAGAAGCUUGCUGGAGGUAUCAGAAGUGCGAAUGCUGACAUGAGUAACGACAAUGGGUGUGAAAAACACCCACGCCGAAAGACCAAGGGUUCCUGCGCAACGUUAAUCGACGCAGGGUUAGUCGGUUCCUAAGGCGAGGCUGAAAAGCGUAGUCGAUGGGAAACAGGUUAAUAUUCCUGUACUUCUGGUUACUGCGAUGGAGGGACGGAGAAGGCUAGGCCAGCUUGGCGUUGGUUGUCCAAGUUUAAGGUGGUAGGCUGAAAUCUUAGGUAAAUCCGGGGUUUCAAGGCCGAGAGCUGAUGACGAGUCGUCUUUUAGAUGACGAAGUGGUUGAUGCCAUGCUUCCAAGAAAAGCUUCUAAGCUUCAGGUAACCAGGAACCGUACCCCAAACCGACACAGGUGGUCGGGUAGAGAAUACCAAGGCGCUUGAGAGAACUCGGGUGAAGGAACUAGGCAAAAUGGCACCGUAACUUCGGGAGAAGGUGCGCCGGCUAGGGUGAAGGAUUUACUCCGUAAGCUCUGGCUGGUCGAAGAUACCAGGCCGCUGCGACUGUUUAUUAAAAACACAGCACUCUGCAAACACGAAAGUGGACGUAUAGGGUGUGACGCCUGCCCGGUGCCGGAAGGUUAAUUGAUGGGGUUAGCGCAAGCGAAGCUCUUGAUCGAAGCCCCGGUAAACGGCGGCCGUAACUAUAACGGUCCUAAGGUAGCGAAAUUCCUUGUCGGGUAAGUUCCGACCUGCACGAAUGGCGUAACGAUGGCGGCGCUGUCUCCACCCGAGACUCAGUGAAAUUGAAAUCGCUGUGAAGAUGCAGUGUAUCCGCGGCUAGACGGAAAGACCCCGUGAACCUUUACUGUAGCUUUGCACUGGACUUUGAGCCUGCUUGUGUAGGAUAGGUGGGAGGCUUUGAAGCGUGGACGCCAGUUCGCGUGGAGCCAUCCUUGAAAUACCACCCUGGCAUGCUUGAGGUUCUAACUCUGGUCCGUGAUCCGGAUCGAGGACAGUGUAUGGUGGGCAGUUUGACUGGGGCGGUCUCCUCCUAAAGAGUAACGGAGGAGUACGAAGGUGCGCUCAGACCGGUCGGAAAUCGGUCGCAGAGUAUAAAGGCAAAAGCGCGCUUGACUGCGAGACAGACACGUCGAGCAGGUACGAAAGUAGGUCUUAGUGAUCCGGUGGUUCUGUAUGGAAGGGCCAUCGCUCAACGGAUAAAAGGUACUCCGGGGAUAACAGGCUGAUACCGCCCAAGAGUUCAUAUCGACGGCGGUGUUUGGCACCUCGAUGUCGGCUCAUCACAUCCUGGGGCUGAAGCCGGUCCCAAGGGUAUGGCUGUUCGCCAUUUAAAGUGGUACGCGAGCUGGGUUUAGAACGUCGUGAGACAGUUCGGUCCCUAUCUGCCGUGGACGUUUGAGAUUUGAGAGGGGCUGCUCCUAGUACGAGAGGACCGGAGUGGACGAACCUCUGGUGUUCCGGUUGUCACGCCAGUGGCAUUGCCGGGUAGCUAUGUUCGGAAAAGAUAACCGCUGAAAGCAUCUAAGCGGGAAACUUGCCUCAAGAUGAGAUCUCACUGGGAACUUGAUUCCCCUGAAGGGCCGUCGAAGACUACGACGUUGAUAGGCUGGGUGUGUAAGCGUUGUGAGGCGUUGAGCUAACCAGUACUAAUUGCCCGUGAGGCUUGACCAUAUAACACCCAAACA
rnacentral:rRNA from 1 species